ensembl:lncRNA
ACAGUCAGCCCGUCAAGGGAAGGGGUUGUCCUGCUCUGCUAUGCUCCAUGAAGCCUCACUUCCAGCAAUGGGUGCAGGUUUGGGUAUCAUAGUGUAAGAAAGGCGUAAAACCACUGAAGAGUGUCAAGGGAAAGCUAUGAAAAAUGACGAAUGGUCUGGAGGGGAAGAUGUGUGAGGAACAGCUCCACUUCCUCGGUGUGCUCGGCGCAGAGCAGAGGAGCUGAGGGGAGCCAUCAUGGCGGCUGCAGCUUCUCACAGACAGCUUCACUGAAUGCUCCUCAGGUCCUGCAGUGCUGAGAGGGACCAAGGAACCACCAUCUCCACUUCUGCAAGCCCUCAUGCACACAUAGGCCCAAGGGAGCCAGUGCCAGGCCAUGGCUUUCCAUCCAUGACUAUUCCUCUAUCAUCUGAAAAAUGUUUAUUGUACUCUUAGGGAGAAGAAAGAGGAAUGCCGUGAGGCUACUCAAGGCCAGGAAAGAAAAGCUGGCACUGAUAGGAGAGAAAAUACAUGAGAGCAAGCUGACGGCUGCAUUUGAACUCCUGUGGGAAGAACCAGAUACAUCCAGAGGGCUAGCUAAGCAGUACUGAAGUGUAGGAAAAGAGUGCAGGAAGGUGUCCAGAAGCCUCACAGGCUUGCAUGAGGUUUUACUGAAUGCACUCUCUUGCUGUACAAGCCUGCAGAUAUGUGCCAUAGCCAGAGUGAUCUGAUGGAAAUUCAAGGGAGACCUUAUCACUAUCUACUACUACCUAAAAGGAGGCUGUAGUGAGGUGGGGGGUCAUCCUCUUUUCCCAGUUGACUAGCAAUAGGAUAAGAAGUAACGUCCUUAAGUUACACCUGAGAAGGUUUGGAUUGGAUAAUAGAUAAAACUUCCUCUCAGAAAGAGUGGUGAGGUAGUAGAACAGGCUGCCCAGGGAAGUGCUAGAGUCACCAGCCCUAAAGAUUUUCAAGAAAAGCUUAGAUGUGGCACAGGGAACACAGGAAGUACACUUGAAGCUGCACAGCCCAGAAGAAGAGGACUUGCCCUGUCUAUGUCUCCAUACCAUCUCCCAGGAGGCCACCCUACCAGCAACAGUAAGAGAAAGCCACAGAAGUUGAUGGCACCAGGGCUGGGCCAGCAUCUGAGUCAUGUGCAAACCCUCAGUGGCACCAGAAGACUCGCAGUAUUUGGAAUCUGUUUGACAAAUAUAAAGUAUUUAAAAU